AGUGAACGCUGGCGGUAGGCCUAACACAUGCAAGUCGAACGGCAGCACAGCAGUAGCAAUACUGUGGGUGGCGAGUGGCGGACGGGUGAGGAAUACAUCGGAAUCUACCUUUUCGUGGGGGAUAACGUAGGGAAACUUACGCUAAUACCGCAUACGACCUUAGGGUGAAAGUAGGGGAUCGCAAGACCUUACGCGGAUAGAUGAGCCGAUGUCGGAUUAGCUAGUUGGCGGGGUAAAGGCCCACCAAGGCUACGAUCCGUAGCUGGUCUGAGAGGAUGAUCAGCCACACUGGAACUGAGACACGGUCCAGACUCCUACGGGAGGCAGCAGUGGGGAAUAUUGGACAAUGGGCGCAAGCCUGAUCCAGCCAUACCGCGUGGGUGAAGAAGGCCUGGUGUAAG
rnacentral:rRNA from 1 species